ensembl:lncRNA
AAUGAAUUGUCCCACCCUCUCCUUUUCUGCUCCUCUUUCUAGAAUUAUCAUUCAGUUUGUUGGUUUGCACCAGCACAUCUUGGCCAAAACCAUCAUUAAUAUUCACACUUGAGUUGAGCGCUCGCCUGGGCAAGCGCUUAUCUUGCCCACAGCUUGCCGGUCAUUAAGCAGAUUGAGCAGAAAGGAGAGGAGCAGAGAGCGGUGUCCGGGUCAUUGACUUGAUCAUCUCUCCCCCUGUGUGUGAGCACUCUUCACAUCUGCCCCCCCCCCCGACAGGUCUUGAUCAUCAGGCCUGGGUGGUUGUGGCUCCACAAGUGAACACUUCUCUGCCGUUAGGUGUGAUGACUGGCAUAAGGUGUCAGCGAGAGCUUUGCUGUUGGCAGCCAUUAUCUCUCCCCUGGGUGUCUGUGGUUUUGCCUGAGUAGCAGAGUCAGUCAGAGAGUUACACGAUUAGCUCCCAUUGUGCAGCACUGGUCAUAUUCAACAGAGGAAUGAAUAGUUAAUGUGAGAACAGCCAAGCUUCACAGAUGGCCACUCAGGGAGGCAGCAGGCUGGAGACUAAGCUGUCUGGGGCCUUUGGCGGACUCUCUCUCUCCACCAGAAGCCCGUGCCAUAUUGUGACCUUCAGCCAGAGCAGACUGAAUCAUCGACAGUGGGAACAGAUUGAGUGAGCAGAUGAGCCGUAUGUAGCCGGGCAGAGGGCAGGCCUGCGGAAUAGUACUCAAAUACCCCUGUGCCAAUCUGUACAACUGGCAUCAAAUGGACUGUUUCGCACCCAGGCCUUUAACCCCCUAAGGUUGAUGUCUGCGCCCCCAUGAAAAUCUAAUUAGUAUAAUACAAAAAAAUCACAAUAAAAAUCUGUCAGUUUAAGCUAGAGAUAUGUUUUGUUGCGUUGGACGUGUCUCAAUCCACCAUAUCCGCCUAUGUCGCACUUCCGCAUCUCCAGUGAAAGAUAACAGAUCUAGUGGUGUUUGUCAGUCCAUGAGACAUCACUACAAAUCUGUCUUCUCACAAAACCGUCUAUAGCAUCUGAACGCUUUGACCUACAAACAUGGUGUUCUCCGUUUUGCUCCACAAGUGUCAGGAGCCUCGUCUGAAGUCGGUAUAGCUGAUCUGCCAACUUCUGUCUGUAGCGUCCGAACCGUUUGGGCUACACACUAAAAUGACCCCUCUCUGCAAAGGUGAGACUCUCACAAACAUUUGCUCUAGGACGCCCACAGGCCUCACAAGACUCAACUGAAACACCUGUCCCCCGGGACCAGUUGAAAAUAUGAAUGGAAGUACAGUACCAGUCAAAAGUUUGGACCUACCUACUCAUUCUAGGGUUUUUCUUUAUUUUUACUAUUUUUUUUUUUUUGCCCACCCCUGGCAUAUAUGAAGACUGUUUAAUGCCAAAAAAUAUGGGUUUCUUUCAUAUAUAGGAGAGACACUUCAGAAUAUACUUCUAUUUUAUUUGUUUUUGGGACUGUUGUUCAAUGUAGUGAAUCUGUUAUUCAAUGUGUUUGUAUGGGCUAAUAGCAGUAAGACCCCAAAAAAUGUUUCAUCAAUGUGUUUUUUUGAUACUCCAAGGGGUCUUAAAAUUCUAAAUGAAAUCGCUAAAUGAUCCUUGGUAUGACAAUGGCCAUGUUCUGUUAUAAUCUCCACCCGGCAUAGCCAGAAGAGGACUGGCCACCCCUCAUAGGCUGGUUCCUCUCUAGGUUUUGGCCUUUCUAGGGAGUUUUUCCUAGCCACCGUGCUUCUACACCUGAAUUGUUUUAGGCUUGGUUUCUGUACAUCACUUUGACAUCAGCUGAUGUAAGACAGGCUUUAUAAAUACAUUUGAUUGAUUGGUUAUGACCUUCUUAAAAUUCCAUAUAGCUUAGUAACCCCCCAACCCAAUUGAACAAUUAUGGGAGAUUCUGGAGCAGUGCUUGAGACAGCGUUCUCUACCACCAUCAACAAAACAACAAAUGAUGGAAUUUCUCGUGGAAGAAUGGUGUUGCUUGCAUCCCUCCAAUAGAGUUCCAGACACUUGUAGAUUCUAUACCAAGACGCAUGGAAGCUGUUCUGAUGGCUUGUGGUGAC